UACGUAGGUGGCAAGCGUUAUCCGGAAUUAUUGAGCGUAAAGCGCGCGUAGGCGGUUUUUUAAGUCUGAUGUGAAAGCCCACGGCUCAACCGUGGAGGGUCAUUGGAAACUGGAAAACUUGAGUGCAGAAGAGGAAAGUGGAAUUCCAUGUGUAGCGGUGAAAUGCGCAGAGAUAUGGAGGAACACCAGUGGCGAAGGCGACUUUCUGGUCUGUAACUGACGCUGAUGUGCGAAAGCGUGGGGAUCAAACAGG
rnacentral:rRNA from 1 species